AGUGAACGCUGGCGGUAGGCCUAACACAUGCAAGUCGAACGGCAGCACAGUAAGAGCUUGCUCUUACGGGUGGCGAGUGGCGGACGGGUGAGGAAUACAUCGGAAUCUACUUUUUCGUGGGGGAUAACGUAGGGAAACUUACGCUAAUACCGCAUACGACCUACGGGUGAAAGCAGGGGAUCUUCGGACCUUGCGCGAUUGAAUGAGCCGAUGUCGGAUUAGCUAGUUGGCGGGGUAAAGGCCCACCAAGGGGACGAUCCGUAGCUGGUCUGAGAGGAUGGUCAGCCACACUGGAACUGAGACACGGUCCAGAGUCCUACGGGAGGCAGCAGUGGGGAAUAUGGGACAAUGGGCGCAAGCCUGAUCCAGCCAUACCGCGUGGGUGAAGAAGGCCUUCGGGUUGUAAAGCCCUUUUGUUGGGAAAGAAAAGCAGCAGGUUAAUACCCCGCUGUUCUGACGGUACCCAAAGAAUAAGCACCGGCUAACUUCGUG
rnacentral:rRNA from 1 species